UCAGUCGUAAAAAAACUGCAUGGCAGCCUAGAGGAAGGUAAUCCUGGCCAGCUGUUUCCAUCUGAAGCCAACCACAUCAGUAGCACAGCUAGCACUAACAUGCAUCAAUUAAGAAGAGACUCGAGAAGCUGUAAAGAGGAAUUCUGAUACUAAGUGAAACCUCAGUCAGAACUUAAUGUAAAAUAAAAUGAACCAAGAAAAAUAUGAUCUUUGUGAGCAAAACACUGUUGCUAUGUUGAACCAUUCUAAGAUCACAUUAGCUAAUAUUACUUCAAGCAGCUUUCAGUGGCAAUACCAAAAGUGUGACAAUGAAAGAAAAACAGAAAACAACGCCCAGAGUUUAACACUUGCAUGCCAAGAAGUCCUUCCACUCAAGCCAAAAGGAGAUGUGUGCCCAUCACAUUAAUAUCCAAACAUCUAGCUCUGCCUCAUUUGCCUGUUCCAAGGGUUACAUUGUCAUCUCUGGAAAAUGGCUUGGAUUUAAGUACUAAAUAUUAUUCAUAUAUAUCUUUAUAAUCAAUGGAAACAUAUACAGUGGUCCUGCUUUGUAAUAUUUUCCCAGCAGAUGUUUCUUUGGAUUCUUCAUUAUCCAUUUGUCAGCAACUUUGUACUCAUCUCAAAUGCCAGCAGGAGUGGAGAACAGUCCACCUUCCAUACAAAUACUCCCAGGCUUCAUUUUUCCCUCUUUGGAGCCAUGACGUGAUAAAGAAGGUCCUUCCAUGCUCUACUUCUGUUUACAGGAGGCACAAGGCAAUUGAUUCUUCCCAGAAACAAAUAUUAACACUCUUUGGGAAUUUACCAGCAAGCGCAUUUUAUGACUAAAUAGAGCAGCACCCUGUUGGAUCUUCUCUGUGCAGUUAUAACAUGCUGUCCUAGUGCUAUACAUAGAAUCUAGCCAGAUUUAACAAUACAAUAAGAAGAAACAGGAAUGCAGUGAUCCAACAUAGUGCAGCUGUGCCAAGCUAGCUCUAGAGCAGUAAUAUUCAGUCUCUAGCUCCUUAGCCACAAGAGGCUCGUCAACUUGUCACCUGCAGCUUUUGGCACAAAGUGUUGUCAAAGCAUAUUCUUUUGUACUGUGUGCAGUGGAUACGCCUUUCCUAGUCAUGAAUAAUGCAACAUAUGCACUGUCUGUCUCUAUCUUGUACCAACAUUUUUGUUUUGGAACAGGUAGUUCUUGGCCACAGUUCAAAUACAGGUGUAGA